rnacentral:rRNA from 1 species
CUUGGUCAUUUAGAGGAAGUAAAAGUCGUAACAAGGUUUCCGUAGGUGAACCUGCGGAAGGAUCAUUAGUGAAUUGAAUAUGUUAGCGGACCUCUUCGGAGUCCCUAGCAUCAAAUCAUAUCCAUAACACCUGUGAACUGUAAGGCUGUCUUGAAAACGAAAGUGAUUAGAGCGCCUGCCCAUUUUAUACAAACAUUAAAGUAACAAACGUAGUCUUAUUAUAAUCUAAUAAAACUUUCAACAACGGAUCUCUUGGCUCUCGCAUCGAUGAAGAACGCAGCGAAAUGCGAUAAGUAGUGUGAAUUGCAGAAUUCAGUGAAUCAUCGAAUCUUUGAACGCACCUUGCGCUCUUUGGUAUUCCGAAGAGCAUGCCUGUUUGAGUGUCAUGAAAAUAUCAACCUUGACUUGGGUUUAGUGCUCUUGUCUUGGCUUGGAUUUGGCUGUUUGCCGCUCGAAAGAGUCGGCUCAGCUUAAAAGUAUUAGCUGGAUCUGUCUUUGAGACUUGGUUUGACUUGGCGUAAUAAGUUAUUUCGCUGAGGACAAUCUUCGGAUUGGCCGAGUUUCUGGGACGUUUGUCCGCUUUCUAAUACAAGUUCUAGCUUGCUAGACAUGACUUUUUUAUUAUCUGGCCUCAAAUCAGGUAGGACUACCCGCUGAACUUAAGCAUAUCAAUAAGCGGAGGA